rnacentral:rRNA from 1 species
UGGGGAAUAUUGGACAAUGGGCGAAAGCCUGAUCCAGCCAUGCCGCGUGUGUGAAGAAGGUCUUCGGAUUGCAAAGCACUUUAAGUUGGGAGGAAGGGCAGUAAGCUAAUACCUUGCUGUUUUGCCGUUACCGACAGAAUAAGCACCGGCUAACUCUGUGCCAGCAGCCGCGGUAAUACAGAGGGUGCAAGCGUUAAUCGGAAUUACUGGGCGUAAAGCGCGCGUAGUUGGUUCGUUAAGUUGAAUGUGAAAGCCCCGGGCUCAACCUGGGAACUGCAUCCAAAACUGGCGGGCUAGAGUAGGGCAGAGGGUGGUGGAAUUUCCUGUGUAGCGGUGAAAUGCGUAGAUAUAAGAAGGAACACCAGUGGCGAAGGCGACCACCUGGGCUCAUACUGACACUGAGGUGCGAAAGCGUGGGGAGCAAACAGG